GAUGAACGCUGGCGGCGUGCCUAAUACAUGCAAGUCGAGCGAACAGAUAAGGAGCUUGCUCCUUUGACGUUAGCGGCGGACGGGUGAGUAACACGUGGGUAACCUACCCAUAAGACUGGAAUAACUCCGGGAAACCGGGGCUAAUGCCGGAUAACAUUUAGAACCGCAUGGUUCUAAAGUGAAAGAUGGUUUUGCUAUCACUUAUAGAUGGACCCGCGCCGUAUUAGCUAGUUGGUAAGGUAACGGCUUACCAAGGCAACGAUACGUAGCCGACCUGAGAGGGUGAUCGGCCACACUGGAACUGAGACACGGUCCAGACUCCUACGGGAGGCAGCAGUAGGGAAUCUUCCGCAAUGGGCGAAAGCCUGACGGAGCAACGCCGCGUGAGUGAUGAAGGUCUUCGGAUCGUAAAACUCUGUUAUUAGGGAAGAACAAAUGUGUAAGUAACUGUGCACGUCUUGACGGUACCUAAUCAGAAAGCCACGGCUAACUACGUG
rnacentral:rRNA from 1 species